rnacentral:rRNA from 1 species
UACAGAGGGGGGCAAGCGUUGUUCGGAAUUACUGGGCGUAAAGGGCGCGUAGGCGGCCACCUAAGUCAGACGUGAAAUCCCUCGGCUCAACCGGGGGAACUGCGUCUGAUACUGGGCGGCUUGAAUUCGGGAGAGGGAUGCGGAAUUCCAGGUGUAGCGGUGAAAUGCGUAGAUAUCUGGAGGAACACCGGUGGCGAAGGCGGCAUCCUGGACCGAUACUGACGCUGAGGAGCGAAAGCCAGGGGAGCAAACGGG